UACGUAGGGGGCAAGCGUUAUCCGGAUUUACUGGGUGUAAAGGGAGCGUAGACGGCGAUGCAAGUCUGAAGUGAAAGGCGGGGGCCCAACCCCUGGACUGCUUUGGAAACUGUAUGGCUGGAGUGCAGGAGAGGUAAGUGGAAUUCCUAGUGUAGCGGUGAAAUGCGUAGAUAUUAGGAGGAACACCAGUGGCGAAGGCGGCUUACUGGACUGUAACUGACGUCGAGGCUCGAAAGCGUGGGGAGCAAACAGG
rnacentral:rRNA from 1 species